rnacentral:rRNA from 1 species
UACGGAGGAUGCAAGCGUUAUCCGGAAUGAUUGGGCGUAAAGCGUCCGCAGGUGGCUGUGUAAGUCUGCUGUCAAAGAGCGAAGCUCAACUUCGUAAAGGCAGUGGAAACUACACGGCUAGAGUGCGUUCGGGGCAGAGGGAAUUCCUGGUGUAGCGGUGAAAUGCGUAGAGAUCAGGAAGAACACCGGUGGCGAAGGCGCUCUGGCUAGGCCGCAACUGACACUGAGGGAACGAAAG